CUACCAAACCACCUCCUAUUGAACUAUAUUUUGUUUCUUCUCUAUCAUCUAUUCUUCAUUAAUCAUUUCUUCAUAGAGUUGAUACAACGAUUUUGGGUUAGGAUCGGGUAAUCUGCAUCCUGAGGUUUAGAUCAGCACAUAUACUUGUUGUAUCUGGUCCUUGGGGUGCGGAUUACCUCGUCCUCACCGCCAAUGCAAGACUUGUUAACCUCAUGAAGCUAAAGUACCUGAUGCACGUUUUGGUUCUUUUAUGUUCUUUGUUUGUUUCUGCAUUUUCAGGUCACAUCCCCUACAUUGCUCAGGUGAUCCCUUAUGUUCUAUGCAAUCAGGAUUGAACACGAGCUUCAAAAAAUCGAUGUCAUUGCCCAGGUGAGGUGCUGGCUUACUGCAGAGGUCAGAUUGCUGUGCACUGAUCAACUUUUCUGUUUGUGAUACAAUAGUUACGGGAACACCUGUUUCGGUAUAUAGUUACGGGAAGAACCUAAUGCUUCGAUUGGCAAGGUGAAGCUGCUUGGAAUGGUAUCAAGAAGUUUGUGAUUCAAACAUAAAGAGAAUCUCUCAGUUCAAGGGCACACUUGACAUUUAUGACAUCAGACAUGCCUCGGGACGGUCAUAUCUACUGUAUCGAGAUGAAAAGGAUUUACAGUCCAAAGAAGAAAAAUCUUUCAAAUUGGAUUUCUGUUAAGGAAAAGAUAGUCUACGAUGUUCAACCUAAGGUACUAGCAGAAUGGGAUAAUAUUCCCAAUUUUUCUCUGAAGAGGCAAUACUCACAAAUGUUGUACAAUCUUUUGUAUUUUAUUUUGGACUUUAUUUCAACUUAGCUGGAUGUUCUGUCUGUUCCA